AGUUAUCGAAGAGCCUUUGUGAGUGUUUGACGUGCGUGCGUGGUGACGGUGCUCCUAUCGUGGCGUCGUCAUCGUCAACGAAGCCGUUUGCUUUAACCCGAGCAAGAGUGCCCAGACAAAGGAGCCGAUGUGUGCGUGCGCGCAAAACAGUGAUACAAUCGUGUGUAUGUGGUUGACUAUAUAUAAUUUCGAUAACAUAAACGCAACACAAGACGAUUUGUGAUUACACAACAAAUUCUAGUGUUAUUGAUGCGUUUGUUUUGUGUUAUGAACAAACAAGUAAUUACUUUUAUGUCUAUGAAUAUUUAAAUUGAAUUCUAAUUUCCUUGCAAACAAUGAUGCUGUGUCGCAUCGCAGUUUUGAAAGUUAUCAGAACUUAACUUAAAUGCGGCUGGCUCAAUGACAAAUAGUGGCAUUCAGAAUGGUAUAUCAGCCAUGGACAUGUUUUCACAGCAAAAUUUUUAUGGGAAUUGGUCGGUUCCUACCGCUUUUACUAAUCUUAACAGCCACUUUAUCGAUUCAGGUAAUCGCAGUCAAACGAAACGUAAUCCACAGCCAAAAUUAUAUCACCAGGGAAUUUAUUGAGUCAUCACUUCAAACUAUCAAUGAGAUAGCUACGGAAAAGUUAGGAACAAAAUGUGCCUCAAAAACAUUUCACACACUUCAAGUCCCGUUGAAUACGGCUCGUUAUGAGGGUACGCGUCAGAAGGCCGAUCUUGCUUCGAUAAUUUUGCAAGAUGUUGGAAUCAAUCACCAUGGUGGUUUGUUUGAUGCGGUUGCCAAAGCACUCCUUAAUGAUGAGUUCAUUUCGGGUGCACGUGUGCUCUUGGUUAACGUUUCGAACGGAGCGUUGAUCUCGUCGGUGUGGUGGAAUAAGAAUGUUGGCGGACUAAGCGAACCAAGCCGAAUCGAAGAAGAAGGCAUUCAAAUUGGUUUCGAACCAAGCAAAGAAUAUCCAUGGUAUGAAGAUGAGCCUGGCUUACGUUCGCCCAAAUUUAUAGCCAGCCCCGAAAGUGAUUCGUACCGUGGCUGGUGGACAUACCCAUAUUACUCGUGCAAACAACAAUGUUGGAUUUUAUCGUACAGCAUACCUAUUCCACCGCUUGGGAAGCAUGGCAUAAAGGGUUUUCUCAGCAUCGACAUCGAUGUGUCGGAGCUGCAAGUGAAUCAGUGUAGUUCGCCGCGUUCAAAGGAACCGUUAACAGCCAACAAGUACUACAAUGAAAUAUUCAGUCAAAUUGAGAUUUUCCAUGGAUCGAACAAAUGCCAUCCGCACAGCAUGCUGUGUGAAUAUCGACCGCCAUAUGGAAGGAAUACGGCAUGGAUACGAGGCGCCUAUCAAUGCCUCUGCAAACCAGGAUACUAUUCGAUACGCCAUCGAGAUGGUUUUAAUGGAACGGUGAUGGAAGUGGCUUACAAAGAAUAUCGAGACAAUACUAGUAGCUAUUAUGAAGAUGUUUUUCGCUGCACUCGAUGUGCUGAAGGAUGUGUUACCUGCAAUUCGCCAGCCCCAUGUUUGGCGUCCUACAAUUGGGCAUUCCGAAUAUCAAUAUUAACCAUUUCAAUCAUGUGUGCUUGCUGUACCAUAGUUUUAUCCUGCUAUCUAUAUAGCCAUCGUAAAGUCAAAGUGUUCAAAGUUGCCAGCCCAAUCUUCUUGACGAUAACACUGUUGGGAUGUGCCAUUAUGUACAUGGAGAUGGCGGCAAUUUUCCCAAUUCUUGAUGUGACUUCUUGCAUUGCAACCAAAUGGACAAGACAUUUUGGCUUUUGCAUAACAUACACUGCCCUUUUGAUGAAAACUUGGAGGGUUUCGUUAACAUAUCGUGUGAAGUCUGCUCACAAAGUCAAACUCACAGAUAAGCAACUUUUGCAAUGGAUGGUCCCGAUUUUGCUUGUUAUGCUCAUUUAUUUGAGCACAUGGACGUUGUCAGCAACGCCGACCGCUGAAGUGAUUGUCGAUUCGAAUGGAUUGAAGUUCAAGCAGUGCGUGUACAAUUGGUGGGACCACAGCUUGGCUAUAGGUGAAGUACUGUUUCUUGGCUGGGGAAUUCGCGUUUGUUACAAUGUACGAAAUGCAGAGUCACUAUACAACGAGGCUCGAAUGAUAUCAUACGCUAUUUACAAUAUCGCAUUAGUCAACAUUCUGAUGAUUUGUUUCCAUUUAAUCAUUUUUCCACAAGCCGGUCCCGAUGUCAAAUACUUUUUAGGAUUUAUUCGAACACAGUUAUCGACAACGACGACCGUUGUGUUGGUAUUUGGUCCGAAAGUUCUGCGAGUAUUACGCGGCCAAGGAGAUCAAUGGGAUCAUCGUGCUCGAGUUCGUGGUAUCACAGCCUCGUUUUCGUUAAAUGGCAUUGGUCAAGGCUUAGUACCUGAAGACUCGCCCGACUUAUAUCAAGAGAACGAAGAGUUAAAGGAGGAGAUACAAAAGCUGGCUGCUCAAAUUGAAUUCAUGAAAAUUGUGAACAUGGAAAUGAAUAAUCGACAUAUUAAACCAAAGCCGGGUGGCUACUUUUCUUCCGCAUCGUCAAUUCAAAGCCCAACGAGCAAGGCGACUGCAGCACAAACACAAACGACGAGAAAUGCAAAGGAGCAAACGAGUGGCGUCAGUGAGGAUGGUCACAGUGGACACAGCGGAACCAAUAGCGUAGGAAAAAAUUCAAAUGGGUAGUUUAAUCAUAUCCACAACUCCACCAAAAAAAAAAUGUCACACGGAAAAUGCGAAUCUGGACUUGGUUUUCCUCUUCUUUUUAGCAAUUCAUAGAACAUUUCGUCUCGCUUGGUCGUUUGACGAUUGGUUUAAGUGAACGAGCUUGACAAAUGUUGACUGUUUGUUUAAAAAAAAAAACCGACCAUUUUCGUAUCAGACAACCGACGCACAAACAAUGAAGAAGUUACAAACAUUCGCGAACUUGAUUCAACGACACCAUUCGAUCGAUAAACAAAGAACAGCGCAGCAUACAAAAACUUAAUCGAAAAUAUACAUCCAUGACAAAUGUAGAAACUGGAUUACUAAUCCAUUAAGCGAUCGUGUGAAUAAUCGCCUUCCUAUUUUUCUAUGAAUUCGAUCGCAAUUGACUGAAAUUAAAACAAAACAAAACACACACACACAUUUUGAAUGACGAUAAUAAUAGCUACAAGAAGAUACAAAACAACUAUAACAAAAUGUAUUAACUGAAAUCAAACUAUCUUAAAUUGUUUCCUCGAAACGAACACUAACAUUUUUUUUUGUUAACAAAACAUUUAGAAGCAUAUAUUUAAAACGGAUGAAGAGAGAUUACACUAGUUGUUGAUUUAUGUGGUUUUUAAAUUUUAUAUUAUUUAAGUUUAGAUAAAUGAAUGAAAUUAAAAUUAGGAAACAGGAAGUGAGGACAGUGAAAAACAAAACUGAAGUGCAUGAACAAGUUUCUAUGAAUAUUUAUCUCAUAUUUAUCGAUGCAAAUUGAAUUGAUGCAAAUUAAAUUGAUCGAGAUUAUUGUUGGCCGUAAUCGAGCUGGAAUUGUGUAGUUUCUUGUUGAGGAAGAAAACUUCUCGGGUUAAAAGAUGGUUUCAUUUUGUAGUCCCGUUGUUAACCCAAAAACGAUUCGUCCUUCCAAAGAAAUUCAGUUAAAAAUAAAGAAAGCCAAAAAUCUAAGGGGAUUUAUCUCUCGCGAAUGCUGCGAAUGCAUUCGCAUUUCAGAACAAAAAUUCGAAUCGUUGCGAAUACAUGGCACUGAGCGCGAAUUUGUGAAUAAAAAUUCGAAUGCCAAACCGACAUAGAAGCCCCUAGCCAAAAAUUGAAUGUCAUCGCAAAAAGGCUUUAAAAAGAACGGAUUGUGUUUGAAAAAGCACACUUAACAAAUCAUUUUUUCUUGAAUCGGCGAUUGGAUUUCCUCUCCCUCUCUCCCUAAAAAAAAAACCGUCAAUCCGUUUUACUCCAGCAUUAUUGAUAAAUCCUCAUGUGUACACCACUAAGCUUAAAUUAUAGAUAGAAAAACUAAAUAUAAGACACCCAUCGAAGGAGAAAAAAAAAUGCGAUGAAUAGAUGUCAAUUAAAAUGUUAUUUCUUUAUUAAAAUAGAGAACAAAAUACGUUGGUUUAAUCAACACAAAUAUUUUAAAUUCAAGUGUAUUGAAAAAUGAAGUGUUAGCUUCUUAUCUGUCUAAAUAAGUGAGUGCCAAAAGUAGACAUCAAUUCGACACAGUCGUAACCAUGGAGUGAUUCAUUCCACCAUUUAUCCACCCAACAUCAGAAUGAAGUGUUAAAUGAAAAUAGCACAAGCAUACCAAACAUGUUUAUUUUUCUCGAUCAUUAAAUACUGGAUUCAUUCUGGAUAGUAGACUUUCUUCGUGUGUACCUGCGCAAAUGUGUUUUUUCAUUUUCGUUCUGAAUCAGACAACAGAAAUAUUCACCAAAAUCGAAAUGAAUAAAAGUAUUAAGGGAGGGAACCCAUGCAAUUAAUUGUGUAGAGUUUAGUUUUAUGUGAUCAAAGCCUAGUUUACGGUUCGACUAAAAACAAAUGUCGCUGAGUAAAAUAUAAAAAAAAAUUCGGACAUGUAUCCAUCAAAACAUGCUAUAUCUUCGUAUUUUUUGGGAAGACGCGAUCUGAUCACUCAUCGACAAACGUUGUUGUUAUUGGUUGAUAUAGAAACAUUGUUCAAAAAGAAGUGCUUCGUGUCUGUAUUCUAUUUAAGGCUAAAAGCGAUGUUAGUUUCUCAAACGAAUGAUCUAUGAUGUAUUCGCAAAUUUUCCUCCACUGACACCGAACUCAGUUAAAAGCCAGGUUUGAAAUUCUCAAGUUUUUUUUUCUGACUAACUGUAAACUGGGCUUGAAGAGAAUAAAUAAAUAAAUGUAUAAAUGUCAGCAAACAUAAGCGUUAUUUAACGACAAACAUAAGGAAAAGAAGAUAAACUAAAUAACUGUAAUAUUUUAUCAAUGUGAUUUAUAUUUAUGUUAUAGAAUAGGGUGGGUCGAUUUUUUGAGGCAAUAGGUAGCCAUGAUGACUAGUGCGAGAUCGAUAGCCAUUGUAUAGCAAAAGUCUGUGGAUUUUCUCUUUGUUGCUCCAUUCGACAAUUUUUCUUAAAAGAAUUGUUGUCCGAAAGUCUGGGCUCAAGUUCACAAUAUUCCACUUUCCAAUAGUCAAAAGAGAGACGGUUCACACAAUUUUGACUCCUACGACAGGAACAUUCUACUAUAGACAUGAUUCUAUCAAUCUCGAACCAGCCAAUUUGAAUAUCUAUCGCCUCAAACAAAUCAAUCUACUCUAUUAUACAAUAUGUCAGGGUUAUUGAGUUAUUUUGUUAAAAUUCUUGUAUGUAAUAUUUCGUCUGUGUACAAAAUUAUACAAUAAACAAAAAUAAAAACAAAUACUGAAUAAAAGUUAUGUCAGGAACGCGAAGCACCAACAUAUUGUUGGCAAUACAAGAACCCAA